AGUGAACGCUGGCGGUAGGCCUAACACAUGCAAGUCGAACGGCAGCACAGUAAGAGCUUGCUCUUACGGGUGGCGAGUGGCGGACGGGUGAGGAAUACAUCGGAAUCUACUUUUUCGUGGGGGAUAACGUAGGGAAACUUACGCUAAUACCGCAUACGACCUACGGGUGAAAGCAGGGGAUCUUCGGACCUUGCGCGAUUGAAUGAGCCGAUGUCGGAUUAGCUAGUUGGCGGGGUAAAGGCCCACCAAGGCGACGAUCCGUAGCUGGUCUGAGAGGAUGAUCAGCCACACUGGAACUGAGACACGGUCCAGACUCCUACGGGAGGCAGCAGUGGGGAAUAUUGAACAAUGGGCGCAAGCCUGAUACAGCCAUACAGCGUGGGUGAAGAAGGCAUUCGGGUUGUAAAGCCCUUUUGUUGAGAAAGAAAAGCAGAAGGAUAAUACCCCGCUGUUAUGACGGUACGCAAAGAAGAAGCACCGGCUAACUUCGUG
rnacentral:rRNA from 1 species